rnacentral:rRNA from 1 species
AUUGAACGCUGGCGGCAGGCCUAACACAUGCAAGUCGAACGAGUGGCGGACGGGUGAGUAAUGUCUGGGAAACUGCCCGAUGGAGGGGGAUAACUACUGGAACCGGUAGCUAAUACCGCAUCCCAUCAGAUGUGCCCAGAUGGGAUUAGCUCGUAGGUGGGGUAACGGCUCACCUAGGCGACGAUCCAUAGCUGGUCUGAGAGUAUGACCAGCCACCCUGGAACGUAGACACGGUCCAGAGUCCUACGGGAGGCAGCAGUGGGGAAUAUUGCACAAUGGGCGCAAGCCUGAUGCAGCCAUGCCGCGUGUAUGAAGAAGGCCUUCGGGUUGUAAAGUACUUUCAGCGGGGAGGCGUUACCCGCAGAAGAAGCACCGGCUAACUCCGUGCCAGCAGCCGCGGUAAUAC